CAGUAGCCGCGGGAAUACGUAGGGUGCGAGCGUUAAUCGGAAUUACUGGGCGUAAAGCGUGCGCAGGCGGUUGUGUAAGACAGGUGUGAAAUCCCCGGGCUUAACCUGGGAACUGCGCUUGUGACUGCACAGCUAGAGUAUGGCAGAGGGGGGUGGAAUUCCACGUGUAGCAGUGAAAUGCGUAGAGAUGUGGAGGAACACCGAUGGCGAAGGCAGCCCCCUGGGCCAAUACUGACGCUCAUGCACGAAAGCGUGGGGAGCGAACAGGAUUAGAUACCCCCGUAGUCCCUGUCUCUUAUAC
rnacentral:rRNA from 1 species